UUAAGUUAUUAAGGGCGCACGGUGGAUGCCUUGGCACUAGAAGCCGAUGAAGGACGUUACUAACGACGAUAUGCUUUGGGGAGCUGUAAGUAAGCUUUGAUCCAGAGAUUUCCGAAUGGGGAAACCCAACAUGAGUUAUGUCAUGUUAUCGAUAUGUGAAUACAUAGCAUAUCAGAAGGCACACCCGGAGAACUGAAACAUCUUAGUACCCGGAGGAAGAGAAAGAAAAAUCGAUUCCCUUAGUAGCGGCGAGCGAAACGGGAAGAGCCCAAACCAACAAGCUUGCUUGUUGGGGUUGUAGGACACUCUAUACGGAGUUACAAAGGACGACAUUAGACGAAUCAUCUGGAAAGAUGAAUCAAAGAAGGUAAUAAUCCUGUAGUCGAAAAUGUUGUCUCUCUUGAGUGGAUCCUGAGUACGACGGAGCACGUGAAAUUCCGUCGGAAUCUGGGAGGACCAUCUCCUAAGGCUAAAUACUCUCUAGUGACCGAUAGUGAACCAGUACCGUGAGGGAAAGGUGAAAAGCACCCCGGAAGGGGAGUGAAAUAGAACCUGAAACCGUGUGCUUACAAGUAGUCAGAGCCCGUUAAUGGGUGAUGGCGUGCCUUUUGUAGAAUGAACCGGCGAGUUACGAUUUGAUGCAAGGUUAAGCAGUAAAUGUGGAGCCGUAGCGAAAGCGAGUCUGAAUAGGGCGUUUAGUAUUUGGUCGUAGACCCGAAACCAGGUGAUCUACCCUUGGUCAGGUUGAAGUUCAGGUAACACUGAAUGGAGGACCGAACCGACUUACGUUGAAAAGUGAGCGGAUGAACUGAGGGUAGCGGAGAAAUUCCAAUCGAACCUGGAGAUAGCUGGUUCUCUCCGAAAUAGCUUUAGGGCUAGCCUCAAGUGAUGAUUAUUGGAGGUAGAGCACUGUUUGGACGAGGGGCCCCUCUCGGGUUACCGAAUUCAGACAAACUCCGAAUGCCAAUUAAUUUAACUUGGGAGUCAGAACAUGGGUGAUAAGGUCCGUGUUCGAAAGGGAAACAGCCCAGACCACCAGCUAAGGUCCCAAAAUAUAUGUUAAGUGGAAAAGGAUGUGGCGUUGCCCAGACAACUAGGAUGUUGGCUUAGAAGCAGCCAUCAUUUAAAGAGUGCGUAAUAGCUCACUAGUCGAGUGACACUGCGCCGAAAAUGUACCGGGGCUAAACAUAUUACCGAAGCUGUGGAUUGUCCUUUGGACAAUGGUAGGAGAGCGUUCUAAGGGCGUUGAAGCAUGAUCGUAAGGACAUGUGGAGCGCUUAGAAGUGAGAAUGCCGGUGUGAGUAGCGAAAGACGGGUGAGAAUCCCGUCCACCGAUUGACUAAGGUUUCCAGAGGAAGGCUCGUCCGCUCUGGGUUAGUCGGGUCCUAAGCUGAGGCCGACAGGCGUAGGCGAUGGAUAACAGGUUGAUAUUCCUGUACCACCUAUAAUCGUUUUAAUCGAUGGGGGGACGCAGUAGGAUAGGCGAAGCGUGCGAUUGGAUUGCACGUCUAAGCAGUAAGGCUGAGUAUUAGGCAAAUCCGGUACUCGUUAAGGCUAAGCUGUGAUGGGGAGAAGACAUUGUGUCUUCGAGUCGUUGAUUUCACACUGCCGAGAAAAGCCUCUAGAUAGAAAAUAGGUGCCCGUACCGCAAACCGACACAGGUAGUCAAGAUGAGAAUUCUAAGGUGAGCGAGCGAACUCUCGUUAAGGAACUCGGCAAAAUGACCCCGUAACUUCGGGAGAAGGGGUGCUCUUUAGGGUUAACGCCCAGAAGAGCCGCAGUGAAUAGGCCCAAGCGACUGUUUAUCAAAAACACAGGUCUCUGCUAAACCGUAAGGUGAUGUAUAGGGGCUGACGCCUGCCCGGUGCUGGAAGGUUAAGAGGAGUGGUUAGCUUCUGCGAAGCUACGAAUCGAAGCCCCAGUAAACGGCGGCCGUAACUAUAACGGUCCUAAGGUAGCGAAAUUCCUUGUCGGGUAAGUUCCGACCCGCACGAAAGGCGUAACGAUUUGGGCACUGUCUCAACGAGAGACUCGGUGAAAUCAUAGUACCUGUGAAGAUGCAGGUUACCCGCGACAGGACGGAAAGACCCCGUGGAGCUUUACUGUAGCCUGAUAUUGAAAUUCGGCACAGCUUGUACAGGAUAGGUAGGAGCCUUUGAAACGUGAGCGCUAGCUUACGUGGAGGCGCUGGUGGGAUACUACCCUAGCUGUGUUGGCUUUCUAACCCGCACCACUCAUCGUGGUGGGAGACAGUGUCAGGCGGGCAGUUUGACUGGGGCGGUCGCCUCCUAAAAGGUAACGGAGGCGCUCAAAGGUUCCCUCAGAAUGGUUGGAAAUCAUUCAUAGAGUGUAAAGGCAUAAGGGAGCUUGACUGCGAGACCUACAAGUCGAGCAGGGUCGAAAGACGGACUUAGUGAUCCGGUGGUUCCGCAUGGAAGGGCCAUCGCUCAACGGAUAAAAGCUACCCCGGGGAUAACAGGCUUAUCUCCCCCAAGAGUUCACAUCGACGGGGAGGUUUGGCACCUCGAUGUCGGCUCAUCGCAUCCUGGGGCUGUAGUCGGUCCCAAGGGUUGGGCUGUUCGCCCAUUAAAGCGGUACGCGAGCUGGGUUCAGAACGUCGUGAGACAGUUCGGUCCCUAUCCGUCGUGGGCGUAGGAAAUUUGAGAGGAGCUGUCCUUAGUACGAGAGGACCGGGAUGGACAUACCUCUGGUGUACCAGUUGUCGUGCCAACGGCAUAGCUGGGUAGCUAUGUGUGGACGGGAUAAGUGCUGAAAGCAUCUAAGCAUGAAGCCCCCCUCAAGAUGAGAUUUCCCAACUUCGGUUAUAAGAUCCCUCAAAGAUGAUGAGGUUAAUAGGUUCGAGGUGGAAGCAUGGUGACAUGUGGAGCUGACGAAUACUAAUCGAUCGAAGACUUAAUCAA
rnacentral:rRNA from 1 species